rnacentral:rRNA from 1 species
CCAAUAGCGUAUAUUAAAGUUGUUGCAGUUAAAAAGCUCGUAGUUGAAUUUCGGGAUCAAUAUAUCGGUCGUGCCAUUGGUACGUACUGGUAUCAUUGGUUUCUCCUUUCUGACGAACCAUGAUGUCAUUAAUUUGGUGUUAUGGGAAGUUAGGACUGUUACUUUGAAAAAAUUAGAGUGUUUAAAGCAGGCUUUAGCUUGAAUACAUUAGCAUGGAAUAAUGAAAUAGGACGUUCGAACCUAUUUUGUUGGUUUCUAGGAUCAACGUAAUGAUUAAUAGGGAUAGUUGGGGGCAUUAGUAUUCAAUUGUCAGAGGUGAAAUUCUUGGAUUUAUUGAAGACUAACUACUGCGAAAGCAUUUGCCAAGGAUGUUUUCAUUAAUCAAGAACGAAAGUUAGGGGAUCGAAGACGAUCAGAUACCGUCGUAGUCUUAACCAUAAACUAUGCCGACUAGGGAUCGGAUGAUGUUAAUUUUUUAAUGACUCACUCGGCGCCUUACG